GACGAACGCUGGCGGCGCGCUUAACACAUGCAAGUCGAACGGAAAGGCCUGCUUUCCCUUGUGGAUUGCGGGUACUCGAGUGGCGAACGGGUGAGUAACACGUGAGUGAUCUGCCCCCAACUUGGGUAUAAGCCUGGGAAACUGGGUCUAAUUCCCGAUAGGACUGCAGGGUGGUGCCUGUGGUGGAAAACGAUUUUCUAGUGGUUGGGGAUGAGCUCGCGGCCUAUCAGCUUGUUGGUGGGGUAAUGGCCUACCAAGGCGGCGACGGGUAGCCGGCCUGAGAGGGUGGACGGCCACAGUGGGACUGGGAUACGGCCCAGACUCCUGCGGGAGGCAGCAGUGGGGAAUAUUGCACAAUGGGCGGAAGCCUGAUGCAGCGACGCCGCGUGGGGGAUGACGGCCUUCGGGUUGUAAACUCCUUUCGACCGCGAGGAAGCCACCUGGUUGGAAGGGUGGUGACGGUAGUGGUAGAAGAAGCACCGGCUAACUACGUG
rnacentral:rRNA from 1 species